GUUUGCUUCUAGGUUUGGUAAGCUGGUAAUGAGAAUGUCUGUUAUUUUGUUUAACUGCUUUGCCCACUCCAUUUUCUCCCUAAAAUCUUCCCAUUGAAAAGGUGCUGAAGUCAAGAUGGCUUCCAGGGCCAGCAGACCUGCAGUCCGUGCAGGAAGCGGGACACCAACUGUAGCGAAUGAAGAUAGCAGGCUGAGCAGACAGGGACCCUGAAGGACGGUCAUACAUGGCACGACGACACGUGGCUAAUGACAGGCUGCGUAUAUGACGGUGAUCCUGUAAGAUAGGACUCCCCUACCACCCCCACCCCGGGCAAAGGACUGGUGGCCCAAGGCCUGUUAGGAACCGGCGGCAGAGCAGGAGAAAUCUACCAUAAGGAAGAGAUAUCCCUUCUGCUGCUUGUAGGCAUGUAUGUAUGUAUGAAGUAUAUAUGUAUUCAUUCAUUCCCUUAUUCAUUUAUAUUAUUAGUGUGGGUUCAUGAGUAUCUGUUUUAUCCUAUGAAUUACUAAUUACUAUUGCUUAUUUUGUUGCACAAGUUGUCCCAGGCUGGGUCGCUGGCAGCUUCUUUAAGCUGCCUCUUGUUUCUUUCAGUAUUUCCUAAUUAUUUUCUGGGCACUUCUUUAAUUUCUGGCAUUGUAAGAUGCUCCAACCUAAUCUUGCAUCUUCCCACCAUAGCAUUGGAAUUAAUCAUUUUCUAAGGAGCCCUGGUUUCUUUGAAAAUUCAUAUUUAGGAACCAAUAGCUGCACUCCAGAUAGGCUCAUUGCUAUGGGGAUGUCAUUGCUUCUGGUCCACCUGGGCAGAUGGAGUUAAGGAAAAAAAAUAUAUAUAUAUGUACAUAUUUUAUAUAUAUACACGCAUACAUACAAGCACGCCUAUGUGUGUUUCCAUAUGUAUCUAUAUACACGUAAUAUAAGAUUAGUUAUACGUAUAUUAACCUUAAGUUGAUGUUGAUAUCUGUCACUCAUCCUAUCCUCCCCUUUUCCUUAUUUGUAAUUUCUUUUUCUUCUUUUUUUUAUUUUUGAGACAGGGUCUCUCUUGCCCUGCCCUGGCUGUGACAUGAUCACAGCCCACUCAACCUCCUGGGCUCAAGCAAUUCUUGCAGGGUCUACAGGUAUAUGAUACUACGCUGGGCAAUUUUUAAAUAUUUUGUAGAGUCAAGGUCUCGCCAUAUUGCCCAGGCAGGUCUCAACCUCCUGGGCUCAAGCGAUCUCCCUCCACCUUGGCCUCCUGAAGUGCUGGGAUUACAGGCAUGAGCCACUGCCCUGGGCCUAUAACUUCUUUUUCCAACAAUGAGAAAUCUGGCCCUCUUCACCAUGGUCUAUUUUCUUAUUUGCUUAGUCCUAGACACAAAGUAGUUUCAGAAUUUCUCACCAUACUCCUGUGGAAAACACAUUUCCUGAUGAGAGUAAAAUAUUUGUGUAUAUCUGUUUCUGGCUUUUUUUGUCUUUAGCUUUACAAUGUACAGUCAAUAUUCUGUUUUCCAAAUUCAUAGAGUUUGGCGAUUUUCUUCCCCAUGCCUCAGUGUAGUUGUGUUAUCUAUUGAUAAUUGAGUUAGGUUCAUUUUGUACUGUUUGCAUUCUAUUUUGGGUUCCCUCAUCACAGUUGAUUUUAAAUGUUAAUUUGGGUGGGAGGAAUAUGGAAGAGCAUUGUUCUGAGAACCAUAAUUAUAUCAAAAGCUACACCCAGAAGUAUCACUUUCCCCUUUCUCUUCUCAUUCUCUCCUCUCAUUCUUUCCACCCCAAUUCCCACCCAUGCCCUCUAGGUAAAUAAUCUCAUUAAUUUCUCGUUUCUACUUGUUUCUUUUGCACAAGACAGCUGAUACAUGUAUACUUUCCCACAUCUCCUUUCUUUCUUACAUGAAGGAUAAUAUAUUAUACUCUUCUUAUUUUGCUUUUUUAUUUAACAGUGUAUUCUGGAAAUCAGUUCAUACCAAUUUUCAGAGAUCUUUCCCCUUUUUUGGCACAUCUGCAUAAUACUGCAUGUUCCAUGGUUUUCUCAAUGACUACUUAGGUUGUUUCUAAUAUUUUUCAAUAAGAAACAGUAUUGCAAUUAAUAAUCUAAUGCAUAUAUAUAUGUAUAUGAGAGGUCUUCAAAAAGUUCAUGGGAAACGUGUCUUAUGAAAAAACUAUGCAUGAGUUUUAAACUUUUUUGCGUCAAAAUAAACAUGUACUAACUUCUUAGAACAUGUCUGAACAGGUCCAAGUUUGAGGCACUAAGAAGGAUAAAGUAUCAAUUUGAAAAGAGCCCCUAUCAUAGCAAUAUGACUUGAAAGCACAAAGGAAGAAAAAAAUGAAGCAAGAACAAACAUCAAAUUUAUGAUGAAGUUUGCCUGCAAGAAUGGUGAAACCAUUGAUAUUUUAUAAGACAUUUAUAGGACAGUGUCCCAAAGGAAUCAGCAGUUUACAAAUGGAUAUAACCUGUUUUCAGAAGGGAGGAAGAUGAAGUUGAAGAUGAAGCAGUGGGCGACCAUUGAUAUCAAUUUAUGAGGAAAAAAAUUCAUUUUAUUCAUGCCCUAACUGAAGAGGACUGACAAUUAACAGCACAAACAAUAGUCAACAUCAUAGAUAUCUCAACUGGUUCAGCUUACCCAAUUCUGACCGAAAGUUAAAGUAGAGCAAACUUUCUACUUGGUGAGUGCCAAAACCCUCAUGCCCAGAUCAGCUGCAGACAGAAGCAGAGGUUUCAAUGGAAAUUCGAAACAAGUGGAAUCAAGAUCAUGAAGCAUUUCUUCAAAGAAUUGUAACAGGAGUUGAAAUAUGGCUUCACCAGUACAAUACUGAAGACUAAGCACAAUCAAAGCAAUAGCUACCAAGAGGCUGAAGUGGUCCCUUAAAGGCAAAAGGGGACCAGUCAAGAGCAAAGGUCAUGGCAACAGUAUUUUGGGAUGCCAAGACAUUUAGCUUGUUGACUUUCUGGAGGGCCAAAGUGUAGUAUUAUCUGUUUAUUAUGUUUUGAGAAAGUUGGUAGAAAAAUGCCUAGGAGAGCUUCACCAGAGUGUCCUCGAUUCAAUUUCAGAUCACCACAAUAAAGCAAAAAAUUGCAAUUAUAAAUUUUUUGGUUCCCCAGUACAUGUAAAAGUUAUAUUUAUACUAUAGCCUAUUAAGGGUGCAAUAGCAUUAUGUCUGAAAAAAAAAAUGAUCAUGGCUUCAUUUAAAAAUACUUUAUUACCAAACAAUGCUAGCAAUCAUCUGAACCUUCAGUGAGUUAUAAUCUUUUUGCUGGUGGAGGGUCUUGCUUAGAUGUUGGUGGCUGCAGAUUGAUCAGGGUGGUGGUUACUCUAGUUUGGGGUGGCUGUGGCAGGUUUUCAACAUAAGACAACAGCGAAGUUUGCUGCAUUGAUUGACUCUUCCUUUCAUGAAAGAUUUCUCUGUAGCAUGUAAUGCUGUUUGAUAGCAUUUUACCCACAGUAGAAUUUCUUUCAAAAUUAAAGUCAGUCUUCUUAAACCCUGUCACUGCUUUAUUAACUUAAGUUCUUGCAAUAUUCUAAAUCCUUUGUUGUCAUUUCAGCAACGUUCACAGCAUCUUUACCAGGGGUAGAUUCUGUCUCAAGAAACCACUUUGUUCAUUCAUCUGUUCAAGUUUUAUCAUGAGAUUGCAUCAAUUCAGUCAAAUUUUCAGCUCCACUUUUCAUUCUAGUUGUCUUGCUAUUUCUACCACAUCUGCAGUUACUAUAUCCGUUGAAGUCUUGAACCCCUCAAAAUCACCCAUGAGAGUUGGAUUCAAUUUCUUCCAAAUUCCUGUUCAUGUUGAUAUUUUGACCUCCUCUCAUGAAUCAUGAAUGUUUUUAGUGGCAUCUAAAAUGGUAAGUCCUUUCCAGAAGGUUUUCAAUUUGCUUUGCCCCAAUUCAUCAGAGGAAUCACUGUCUGUGGCAACUGUAGGCUUAUGAAAGGUAUUUGUUAAGUAAUAUGACUUGAAAGUCUAAAUGACUUCUUGAUCCAUAAGCUACAGAAUGGGUGUUGUGUUAGCAGGCAUGAAAACAACAUUCAUCUUGUGUAUCUCCAUCAGAGCUCUGGGUGACCAGGUGCAUUGUCAAUGGGCUGUAAUAUUUUGAAAGGAAUCUUUUUUUUUUCUGAGCAGUGAGUCUCAACAAUGGGCUUAAAAUAUUUAUUCAACCAUGCUAUAAACAGAUUUACUGUCAUCCGGGCUUUGAUGUUCCUUAUGCAGGCACAGGCAGAGUAGAUUUUGUAUUAUUCUUAAGGGACCUUGGAUUUUCAGAAUGGUAAGGGAACAUUGGUGUGAACAUAAGGUCACCAGCUGCAUUAGCCCCUAACAAGAGAGCCCCUAACUCUCCCUACCCACUCUGAGGAGCAGAGGUCUUCAAACCUCCACUGGUUCGGUGCUGCUGAUUCAUGAAUCGUUCUUUGCUCAAUUAAAUUGUUUACUUUGUCUAAGAAGGUUUCCCUUUGACAGGAUUUCUUUUGAUAGGAUUUAUUUUUGCUAUUUUAUUUCAUAUUUUACUUUUAUUGAAUUUUUGUUUCAUUUUUUAAAAGUCUCCUUUCCUUCUUUCUUUUGGUCAUUUUGAGUAUUCUGCCAGUUUAAAAGUUAAACAUUACACUUUUGUUCUCAUAAUAGUAACAGUUAAUUUGAAGCCUGCAAUACAGUGCUUUCAAGUCAAGAAUUUUUGCAUGUGAUUAUGUUCCUUAAUCUCCCACUUCCCUCAGCCCCCAUCAUGCUAAUAUUUUAGUUCUGGGUUGUUAUGGAAACAGUGAUUUUCCUUUUUUGAUUGUUAAAUUAAAACUUGGCCUGAGGCUGCCAUAGCUUAUAUCCCUAAGUAAGGAAAUAUAAACUGGUUUAGUAGGUAAAUAAACUGAAAGCCUAAUUAAGGACUGUUCUUUGUAACAAACAGCUGAGUGUCAGCUAAUCGGAGCAGCUGACCUUCAGCCAGUCACAGGCUUCCUGCUGAUCAGACCACAUCCAAAUACAGCAACACAAAGCUGAAACCAGUCCAACUGUUUCUGCACCUCACUUCCCUUUUCGAUCUAUCAACUCUCUCUACCCACUCUGAGGAACAGAGCUCUCAGAACCUCCACUGGUUCAGUGCUGCUGAUUCAUGAAUUGUCCUUUGCUCAAUUAAAUUGUUUAAUUUGUCUAAAAAGGUUUUCUUUUGACAGGUCCUAUAAUAAACUUUAGGUAUUCAGUUACCCAUAAUUUUCAUGUGUUUUGUAGAAAUAUCCUGGAUUUGCCGUUCUCUUAUCUAAACCUUCCUUCAAGGGUAUUUUCAACAUGUGGCAAAAUUUUGGAGAUGUAUGAAUGAGAAUGUUUUUAUUAUACUUUCACAUUUAAUGACAAUUUGGAUAAGACUUUUAGUAUUCAAUUUUCUUUUAAUUUUUUAAAAACAUUACACCAUUUUCCUCUUGUACCAUUUUUCUAUUGAGGAGUCCAUAAUCAGUCUGACUCUUAUUCCUUUGUUAGGCAGGAUGAUGAUAUAAUUUAUCAUUCAACUAGGACACUUUGGAGCGUGAAGGGGAUACUACUAAUAAUUAUGCCUGUCAGUAGGUGUAACCCAGGACUGUCCUGUGUACAUUAAGACAUGUGGUCCACUUACUUAUAGGUGUUCAGUUACCCUAUUUAUAGGUGACUAGUUCUUUCUCUCUGGAAGCUUUUAGAAUUUUAUUUGUGUUUGAUAUUCUUAGGUGUGGCUAUAAUACUUCUAGGUAUGGGCUUUUUUGUUUUUCUCUACUUGGCCCUCUGUGAUACUAUGAUUUAUAAUAGGAAAUGUAUAUUUGAUCUUCCUCCUUUAUCCUGGCAUGUAGCUCCUAAAACCCAUAUAAUCUCCAAAGUGAUGUGUCUACUUGUAUGCCAGUGAGAUGAAUGUGGGUUGGGGGCUCCUGGAUUGCCUCAGCAUGAGAGGGGGUUGCCAGGAUAACCCUUGUGUGAUUAGAGGGUUAGAACUUUCAGCCUUAGGCUACCCUCAGCCUUGGAGGGAAGAAGAGCUGGAGGUUGAGUCAAUCACAAUGGCCAGUGAUUGAAUCAAUCAUGUCUAGGUAAUGAAACCUCCAUACAAAAACAAAAAGGCCGGAUUCAGAGAGCUUCUGGGUUGAUCAACAAGAACCUAUCAGUGUACCAGGACAGUAGCACAACACAACUCCUUGGGGACAAGCUUUUCUGCUCAGGAAUUUCCAAUCCUGACCCUAUGUAUCCAUUCAUCUGCCUGUGCAUUUGUAUUCUUGAAAAUAUCCUUUGUGACAAGCAGGCACUGAUAAAUGUUAAACACAGUUUAUGGGAAGCCACUGUUUUAGACAAGCCUCCUACACUAGGCCCCAGCAAAGCAGACCAAACCAGAA